UCCUUUGUUCAAUUUCUACUCUUCUCUCCUUUGUACCUUAGUUCAAUCUCACUCAAACCCAACGACCUUCUUCAAACUGUUCUCACUCACCGUUCUUCACUUCGUUCUCACUCACCCAUAAACUCAUUAAAACCCUAAACCCCAUUAAAUCUCAAUCGAUUGAACCCAGAAUCCCAUUUAAACCCUAAAUUAAAAAUCAAUCGAACCUAGAGAACUCGCUGAAACCGUAAAACCAUCUUUCCCCAUCGUUCAUCAUUGUCCAUCGUUUCAAACUCGUUUACCCAGAAAUUCAUGGUUCCGCCAUCGUUCAUCGCAGUUGAACCUCCAUCUUGUCAUAAGUGGUUAGGAUGCUGAAGGAAAUGAAAUAUCACGUCCAGUAAUUAACUGGCAGGAGCACAUAUCAGGUUGGGAAGACAUGUUUUCACUUGGGGGAGGAUACUUGCAUUUGAAGCUGCAAGUUGCAUUUAGUGAUGAAGAGUGACAGAAUUCUUAUGAUGUACUACUUAUAUUUCUAAAAUCUCAACAUUCUUAAACAUAGAAAAUUAAUGGCCUUGGUAAGUUUUUGUGAUUAUGCUGAUAUAUGUUGGAUAAUUGAAAUAUUAUAGGAUACUUUGAUAGGAUUAGUCAAAUUUCUAUAUAAUAGAAGGAAGAAUGAUCUUCUUAAUACAAGUCAAAGAUGUGAAGAAAGUGACAGUAGAUGUUUAUAGAUGCGGUCAUUAUGUUAAUCUGCUUCUGGUGCGGUUGUCCCUGCUUCAGACUGUGGCGUGUUUGCUUUUUGUAGGAGUGGUUUCUAGAUGUGGUGUUGUUGAGUUGGUUUUAUUGAAUUGUUUCUUUGAGAUGGAAUCAGAAUAUUCUUUGAAUCGGUUCAUUUGAAAUAGUAUGUUUGGUGGUAUUUUCCUACAUAAAUGUUUGGUGGUGUUAACUCUGCACAAUUUCAGUCUUUCUAACUCAGAUUCUCUGUUCAUAAUCUGAAGCUCUUUCGAACUCUGCUGAUUAAAGAUCAAAAUUCUAUCCUAUAUGGUUUUUUUUUUCUUCCGGUUUUUACUUUCAAAAUGAUUUUUUUUGUUCUUUUCUGGUUUAGUCAUGUACCCUUUUGGAUGAAUUAACAUGGGUGUGUGUUGGAUUUUGAGUUACAGGGUGCGUGUGGAUCUCUCGUGUUGGAUAAUUCAGCUUUAAAAUGCGAUGUCUCAUUUGUAUACUUUGUAUCUAUCACAAACACAGAUACAAAACCUCAAUUUAGUAUAAGAAUAGCUAUGAAAAUUGUCUAACCUUUUUCUACUUUAUUAUUGUAUAUAUAAAGAAUGUUUAUAAAAUAUUAUAGCCAUAGUUUUCUAAAAGAGGUCUUGUAUUGCAUAAUAUAGGUCACAACAAAGGAUGGAGGUUUUCAGUGGUAGUGAUAUAGCUCAAAUUUCUUGUAGUGAGGGUAUGUUGCGGCAUCAUUUGAAAUUUUGAGUGCCUUGAAUCUUGUGAAAGAAGAGGCCAAUGGAAGGUAGCAGCACAGUCCCAAGAACUUAUUCAAACCAUACAACAUUAUUACAACAAUACAUAUUUGGAUGGUACUAAAGCAAUUAAUAUGUCAACAUAUUACUUGUGGAAGUUCUAUUUGUCAUUGCAGCAAUGGAGUUCAUUUAUGGCUUUGGUCUCUAACUAUAACAUACAUAUUUGAUGGAGUCCACUGUUAUGCUUGGGUUUAGAUAAAAGAGGAUAGAAAUUGGACUUUGGCCAUGUUUGACUUUGUUUGAUGGUUCUGAU